UACGAACGCUGGCGGCGUGCUUAACACAUGCAAGUCGAACGGAAAGGCCCUGCUUUUGUGGGGUGCUCGAGUGGCGAACGGGUGAGUAACACGUGAGUAACCUGCCCUUGACUUUGGGAUAACUUCAGGAAACUGGGGCUAAUACCGGAUAGGAGCUCCUGCUGCAUGGUGGGGGUUGGAAAGUUUCGGCGGUUGGGGAUGGACUCGCGGCUUAUCAGCUUGUUGGUGGGGUAGUGGCUUACCAAGGCUUUGACGGGUAGCCGGCCUGAGAGGGUGACCGGCCACAUUGGGACUGAGAUACGGCCCAGACUCCUACGGGAGGCAGCAGUGGGGAAUAGUGCACAAUGGGCGGAAGCCUGAUGCAGCAACGCCGCGUGCGGGAUGACGGCCUUCGGGUUGUAAACCGCUUUCGCCUGUGACGAAGCGUGAGUGACGGUAAUGGGUAAAGAAGCACCGGCUAACUACGUG
rnacentral:rRNA from 1 species